rnacentral:rRNA from 1 species
AACGAACGCUGGCGGCGUGCCUAACACAUGCAAGUCGAGCGCGAAAAGGGCAACCUGAGUAGAGCGGCGCACGGGUGCGUAACACGUGGGUAAUCUGCCUUAGAGUCGAGGAUAACCUUCCGAAAGGUUGGCUAAUACUCGGUAAGCUUACGGUGUCUUCGGACGCUGUGGGAAAAGUAGGCCUCUGUUUACAAGCUUACGCUCUGAGAUGAGCCCGCGGCCCAUCAGCUAGUUGGCGGUGUAACGGACCACCAAGGCAACGACGGGGAGCUGGGCUGGCAGGAAGAUCAGCCAGACUGGAACUGAGACACGGUCCAGACUCCUACGGGAGGCAGCAGUGGGGAAUUUUCCACAAUGGGCGAAAGCCUGAUGGAGCAACGCAGCGUGUGUGAUGAAGGUUUUCGGAUCGUAAAGCACUUUCGACCGGGACGAAAAACCUCUGGCUAACAUCCAGGGGCCUGACGGUACCGGGAGAAGAAGCACCGGCUAACUCUGUGCCAGCCGCCGCGGUAA